AAUUCUGUAGAUUGGGAACUGCGGACGUAGCGUUGCUGUUGGUGUCGUCAGUAUUCUCUGGCAACGUUUGACCGUUUUCAGUCUGCGCAUUGUGAUCGGGAUGGAAAAUUCCAUUUAAAUUAAGCAGGUUAUUAUUACCGCUAGGACGGAACAUAGACUCAAGAACAGCUGGUAAAUCGGCUAAUGAAGGAAGACCAUGGAACGUCAUUAACUGUGUAAAAGGCCUUUCAGAUCGAUUCGUAUUUGCAGGGAUAUUUGUUUGGCUUCCAGGAAGCCAUGAAGUUGAUUCAGGCGAAGCCGUUGGAAGAUUUAGCAAAUUGGGAGGCUGUAUUGAAGGUGACGGCUCAACUGGUCUAGCUGGAGCAUUUUGAGAGGGCAAGUUACUAGUUGGCAAGUCUGUGGAAGUACUAUUCGUCAUACUACCAGAAUUAGAGGUAAGAUUCGAAGUCAUAGGUUCAUUAGAGGAAGGGCGAUCAGGCAUAGAUGAAAAGAAAGCAUUAAAUAAGGACGUAAGCGUCGAAGGACGAGAAUCCGAAGGAGUAGUCUCUUGUCUAGAGCUAGCAUUUUCGGCAUCAAUAGAGGCACCUUCUCCUGCUAAGGGCUCACUACGAGUAGUAGGUGUUGAGGUGUUUGAGUCAGGGUUUUCAGGGUGAGUAUUUUCAACAGGGGUAUUGGUGGCAGAUCGAUUUGGAGCUAGAAUAAAACGUAUUCGGUUAAAAGCAAUGCGAUGCAGUUGCCGAGCUGGUUCGUCUACGCCGGUUCGACCAUCAGUGUUUGCAUUGUUAAGCUCCUCAGAUGGAUGAAAGUCGGAAUGAACACCAUUUGAUGCAUUUUCUUGAGAAACCGCGGUGUUGCCUUGGUUGCCACGAAGCGUAUGUGAGUGUGGAAUGAUAAAUAAAAUAGGAGGAUGAGCUGAACCUACUGUUUCGUGGGGAACCUCUUUUCUACAAAGAGGACAUGUACAAUGAUUUUCAAGCCAUUUUUGUAAACAAUUUUUACCGAAUAUGUGGCCACAUGGCAUCUUGGUAGCCUGCUUUUCAUCAUUUUCAUUCAUAUCAUCGUAACAGAUCGGACAAGUCAAAUCCAUCAGUUGGUCAUUAGACAAAGGUUCGAAAGAAUCCCAGGCUUCUUUUACAGCGCGUUUUACGGGUGGUUGAAAGGGAUUGGCAAACGGAUCAUUUUCUCCACCCUCGAAAUUGGCUUGAGGAGUUAUGAUAAACAUUGUACCAAUUGAAAAAGCAACUGGUUGAGUCCCCGUGGUAGGGUGGGUACCUUCUUCACCCUCAGUUGCUUCA